AAGGUCCCAGUCAAAGCUGUGGAGAAGUUGAGCAAGAGCGAGCUCUAUAGUCACAGUUCCGAACACGAUGCCUGGACAUCCUCUUCUUCCUGCACCAAAUGGGAUAUCGUACCCUUCAAUAGUAACAUCUUUGAUGGACUCUCUUGGUACAAGUACAGGUACAGGGGGAUGCAGGCGGAAGACCUCUUUUAUAACAGCUUUAAGGUAGUGCAGCUGAGCGAGGUUUUCGUGGCUCGCAUUGUUUUGUUGAUUUUUUCAAAGUCCAUGAAGAUUGGACAGACUAUAUAUCAAACGUUGUUGUUACUCAUUCAGUGUGGGGAUGGUCAGUUUGUGGUCUGAACUCUGAAGUUGGCCUUUGCAAAUGUCUUAACAUGCUUGUCAACAUCAGAAUUUGUAUCUUAUCUAUAUAUGUCAGAUUAAUGUCUAUCUUCUAUACGGAAUCAAAGAUGUAACAACGUAACAAUUAACAAUUAAUCGUGAAGCAAAAUUUUAGAUUGAGCAUGUAAAAUUAUCCCUUGAAGCCUUGAAGGCAUUGUACAAGAAAUUAAUGCUGGCUAAUGUCGUGUUGUGUUCCACUGUUUUGGCUAAUGUCGUGUUUUGUACUCCCUAUGUUUUUUUUUUGG